CAUUCACAUGUCCAACAGGUGGCACUGGCCAUCGCCUGGGUUCCCUCCUUUCUCCUCCAUGGAGCCGCCCAGGCUCCAGUGAGCCAGAGUGGCUCCCUUCCAGCAGACCUCGAGGUAGAGCCCUAAGAGGGUAAAAGGGAGAAGGUGGCAAAGUGACCCUGGAAAAGAGACAUGCGUCAGGACGGAAUGAUCUGUGGCUGUAGAGCAGCUCACCACACUUGAGUGUGAGCCCUCAGUUCUUCCGUUGCAAGCCAAUUGCUCCUUGCCCAAGUCACUGUAUUUCCAUUUUCCCAUGACUUUAUCCAAAUUGGGAGCAAGAUUCCCCACCCAUAGAAAAGCAGAGAUGUUCUCACACAUGACAGUCUGCAGUUGUCUAGCUGUUGCCAAUGCUGCACCCUGGGGUCCCCUCUACUCUGCAGUAAAGAAGCUGUGCACCCCAUCUCCCCAGAAUCCUCACUCCAUGUGGGUCUGGGUAAGACUGUCAAUCAGAGGCACUCAGAGGAGAUUUCAAAGAUAAAAGAGAGUGAAGGGCCAUGAGUUUCUAGAGGCAACUGGUGGCAAAGGUGUGAGCAGAUGCGUGAUUCACAGUGGCUUCACAGCAACUUCUGGAGACCCCCCUACUUCAUUGCUCUUACGCGGAGAAUGGCAGGAGCUUGCUAGAAGUUCUGGAGAAUUAUGGGGCUUCCUGGGGUGCACUUAAGAACCGCCCUCGGGUGUGCCAGCUUGAGAUCGCUGGUGGCAGCUUCCCCAGCCUUCACUCAUAGUUCUUCCAACUGUUUGUGCACGCCACUAUUUCCUUACAUUAAAACCUC
rnacentral:lncRNA from 1 species